ACGCUCACAGGGCACAGAGGAGGCGUCAGUGCGACACAGUUCGCGUAUCGGUCACGUGACCAAAACAGCUCAUGAUCGGUCACGUGACUUUCUAAAAGCGGUACGCGCACCGACACAGGGUUUUGCUCUAUGAGCUCGACGCAUGCGCCGAUGCAUCGGUGUUGCCGGACCCAUCACUAGAGCCGGCAUGUUCGAUUAACUAUCGGGGCGUGCUUGGUUGGUUGUUUUGCCCUCGAUUACUCCAGCCGGAACUGGAGGCCACGCCCCCUCCAGCUCCAUGCGGACCUGAGUGAGGACAGCCUUUUUUCACGACGGGAGGACAACAGGGUGACAAGAACUAAAUCAUCCAGACUAGAGACCGAGCUGGGGAAAGAGGAGAUGACCCCCCCGCUGAAGCCAAGGCCGGCGAGCAAAGUACUGGUCACCACGGACGCCACUGUUGCUUGACUACCGCUGGAGGACGGUCCAAUGCCUGUCGCCAUGGAG